UGGAGUUCACUCCUUAUCCCCAUCAGCACUGACUCUUGAGCAGUAUUUUGGUCCUCUGAAAGAUUGUCUCCCAUUUGGUAUAGUGUUGAUCUAAAAUUCCCCGCAUAGUUGAUUAAUCAGAUCGUCAGCAAAUCUUUUCUCUUUCCCCAACAAAAUUUUAGAUAUUCAGAGAUGGAUGAUUUAUGUUCAUCCUUUACUUUUUC
rnacentral:lncRNA from 1 species